UACGUAGGGUGCGAGCGUUAAUCGGAAUUACUGGGCGUAAAGCGUGCGCAGGCGGUUUUGUAAGUCAGAUGUGAAAUCCCCGGGCUUAACCUGGGAACUGCGUUUGAAACUACAAGGCUAGAGUGUAGCAGAGGGGGGUGGAAUUCCACGUGUAGCAGUGAAAUGCGUAGAGAUGUGGAGGAACACCGAUGGCGAAGGCAGCCCCCUGGGUUAACACUGACGCUCAGGCACGAAAGCGUGGGGAGCGAACGGG
rnacentral:rRNA from 1 species